rnacentral:rRNA from 1 species
CAUCCUGCGGGAGGCAGCAGUGGGGAAUUUUGGACAAUGGGCGAAAGCCUGAUCCAGCAAUGCCGCGUGAGUGAAGAAGGCCUUCGGGUUGUAAAGCUCUUUUGUCAGGGAAGAAACGGUGAGAGCUAAUAUCUUUUGCUAAUGACGGUACCUGAAGAAUAAGCACCGGCUAACUACGUGCCAGCAGCCGCGGUAAUACGUAGGGUGCAAGCGUUAAUCGGAAUUACUGGGCGUAAAGCGUGCGCAGGCGGUUUUGUAAGUCUGAUGUGAAAUCCCCGGGCUCAACCUGGGAAUUGCAUUGGAGACUGCAAGGCUAGAAUCUGGCAGAGGGGGGUAGAAUUCCACGUGUAGCAGUGAAAUGCGUAGAUAUGUGGAGGAACACCGAUGGCGAAGGCAGCCCCCUGGGUCAAGAUUGACGCUCAUGCACGAAAGCGUGGGGAGCAAACAGGAUUAGAAACCCUUGUAGUCCCAUGAU